ensembl:lncRNA
GUGGUCCUCAUGACAGGAAAUACAGGAAGUCAAGUCACUUAAGCACAGGUAGUGUGAGUGUUUGGAAAGCAUAUGGUGACUGCUAAUGGGGGACUUAACUUGCUGGCCACUACCAGGGAUGCUACUGGUGACCUGAUGUUUGUUAAUGUGAGUGUGCCGUGGGUGGAGGCCCUGCGGUCCUGUGAGCAGAAGGGCCUGAGACUGCUCCACAUCCUGGACGACGCCACCCAGACCCGCCUCACCCAGCUGCUGACCUCCCUGCCGCCCGCCCACCGCCCCCGCCCCGUGCCCACGGCCUGGGUGGCGCUGGAGCGCUGCAUCAUCAACCCCAGUGCCCUCUGGAGGUGGGUGGAGGCUCCGGUGGCAUACGACCGCUGGCACAGCAAGCACCCACGCAACGCCUGCAGCUACCACUGUGGACAGGUGGUGUAUGAGGAGGAGGAGGAGGAGGACGAAGGUGUCUACAGAUGGUGGGACGCCUGCUGCAGGGAGACACACCCCUUCAUCUGUCAGAACAGGACAGCAGCUGCAGUGAUGGCAUGUACCAC